UGGGGAAUAUUGCGCAAUGGGCGAAAGCCUGACGCAGCGACGCCGCGUGGAGGAUGAAGGUCUUAGGAUUGUAAACUCCUGUCAGAUGGGAAGAAAGGCUCAUGUUUAAUAAACGUGAGAUAUGACGGUACCAUCAGAGGAAGCACCGGCUAACUUCGUGCCAGCAGCCGCGGUAAUACGAAGGGUGCGAGCGUUAUUCGGAAUCACUGGGCGUAAAGGGUGCGUAGACGGUAUGUUAAGUUUGUUGUUAAAGGCUCCGGCCUAACUGGAGUAUUGCGAUGAAAACUGGCAAGCUAGAGGGUGAGAGAGAGAAGUGGAAUUCCCGGAGUAGCGGUAAAAUGCGUGGAUCUCGGGAGGAACACCAAUGGCGAAGGCAGCUUCUUGGCUCAUUCCUGACGUUGAGGCACGAAAGCGUGGGGAGCAAACAGGAUUAGAUACCCCCGUAGUCC
rnacentral:rRNA from 1 species